AAUCCCCCCAAGCUCAACACCUAAAACCCCGGAAGAGCGAAGGCUCCAAAAACCCCCUCCCUUCUCCUUCCGCCACCGCUCGAUAGCCAUGUCCGCCGCCGCCGCCGCCGCCGCGCGGUCCGUCCUCCGUUCCCCGUCCCUCCGGACCUCCGCCUCCGCCUCCGCCGCGAGGUCUGCCGCCGCCGGCCUAAAACCCAGGCCGGCGCGGUCGCCGUUCCGCAUCCCGGCGCAGAAGCCCAUGUCGCAUCGCAUCUUCAGGUCCCCGGUGGAGAUGAGCAGCUGCUUGGAAUCGGUGCUCCCUUAUCACACCGCCACUGCUUCCGCGUUGCUCACUUCCAUGCUCUCCGUCUCGCGCCACGCAUCCGGCUGGACUCCUGAAGAUUGCAAUGAUGAUUUGUGAUGACUAUUGGGAGGGUUCGUGCGUGGUUCAGGUGGAGAACUGGAGAUUGAUCUAGAGCUAUAGACAAUUUUCUCACUGUUUAUGGAUGAUUGUUUCUUGUUGGUCGAAGAAAUGCUUGCCCCCAUCUACUCAAUGGACAUUGUUAGACCUGCUUGAGGCAUCUCGGUCUUGUUCAUGGAUUGUGCCAGGAUUUUCCUUUUCAACUUGCAGAUAGAAUUCGAUUAUUGGUCCAUCCAUGGACUGUACCUUUUUUACUGGCUCUUAGUUGUUCUUUUGGCUUCACCAUCACCAGUGCACGACCGCUGGCAUCUAUGAAGGCUUUUUUUUUUUUUUUUUUGUAAGAAUGUUGAGUUGCAUUAAAGGGAAUCUAAGAUGCCAACGAUAGAUAACGUUGCUGAAGCGGCUGGUACUUCUUGACCUUGCAGUGAAAAGUGUUGGCCCUCUAAAUAGCAUUCAUCUCGAUGGAUGGGCAGUAAAACUUCUUUGGGUGAUCUA